rnacentral:lncRNA from 1 species
ACAAAACAAAAAACGAUGGGCUUUCUGUCAUGUGCCUGAGAACUGGGAGGAAGCUGGAGAAAAGAUGCCCUCUGAAUCUUUGUGUUUGGCUGCCCAGGCUCGCCUUGACACCGAAUGGUUGAAAACAGAUAUACAGAUGAUAGUGUCGAACCAAGUGGAACAAAGAAAGAAGAUCUGAAUGACAAAGAGAAAAAAGAUGAAGACGAAACUCCUGCACCUGUAUAUAGGGCCAAGUCAAUUCUGGAGACCUGGGUGUGGGUCAAGCAACCAGGUAAUCUUCUGAGUUUUGGCAUUUUGGAAAGCUUGAUCUGACGCUCCUUUUCUAAAUAACUUGGAUGGAUUAUUCGUAUUUUUUGGUAACAAUUUAAAAAAAUGUAAUUAAAAAAAUUUAAAUAUUGUGGUAAAAUAUACAUACCUUAAAACUUGCCA